CCUCCUCUCAGUUGUCUCCUACCUCUACAGCCAGUCCACAUUUGACUCUGACACUAUUCAAGAUCUUUAUCACUUCUCUUUCUCUUCAUUGAUGAUGAGAAAUUAUAGCAUGGAAAAUGAAUAAAUAUUUAUUGAAUGGCUAUUAUGAAGCAAAUAUUGUAAUAGUUACAAACACAUCGUAACUUAAUCCACUGAGUAAUUCACAAGACAAUUUCUAUCUAUAUCAGUCUCCAAGAGAAGUUAAAAUGAUUUCGAAGAUCGGGGACCUUCUAUAAUAUAUGAUAAAGAUUAUACUAAUUACAUAGGGAUAUACAACCUAAUAGCAGUAAUUUGAAACAUCAUAAGAAGACCUUGGGAUUCCAAAGAAGCCUUACCUCCAAUUUCAGUAUAGAAGCCAGUGUGAAUAUCUGAAGACAUUACUGAAGUAGAUCUUUAAAAUUAAGUGUAAGGAUUCAAAUUCAGCAUUAAAUUAAAAUUAUUUGAGUUUGGACAG